UACGUAGGUGGCAAGCGUUAUCCGGAUUUAUUGGGCGUAAAGGGAACGCAGGCGGUCUUUUAAGUCUGAUGUGAAAGCCUUCGGCUUAACCGGAGUAGCGCAUUGGAAACUGGUAGACUUGAGUGCAGGAGAGGAGAGUGGAAUUCCAUGUGUAGCGGUGAAAUGCGUAGAUAUAUGGAGGAACACCGGUGGCGAAAGCGGCUCUCUGGCCUGUAACUGACACUGAGGCUCGAAAGCGUGGGGAGCAAACAGG
rnacentral:rRNA from 1 species